ACCAGUUUUUCCUUGCGUGCCCGUGUGUUCCUGGGUAUUGGGAAUUGAAUCAGAGUGUAAUUCACCUCCUCCAUUCUGCUGCUUUCCAGUGUACUCUGUUAAUGGCUUCUUUCCUUUAAAGUCUUUCAUUUGCAGUUUCAGAUGUGUUAGUAAAGAUAACUUUAGCUCUAAAAAUAUGCCGUGCUAUCAUGUGCUUCUGUAUGCCGCCUCAGAAUGGAAGAAAAAAUGACCUCCUUCCUCACGCAGCAUAAGACAUAGGAAUGAACUUGCUUACGUGAAUACAGGAAGAAGAGUUUAUGUCCCUGGUUCCAGUCCCGAACACUGAAGUCAAUGAAUGAAUGCUGCUGACUUCUUUGAUAACCGUCACUCGCUGCAACAUGUCACCUCUAAAAGAUGGGUUGGGCUCCUGAAGAUGAGUCGUCCUUCAUGUUGUUCUUAACCUGGGGCAUUUUGUAUCAAGAAGAGGAGCCACCGUCUUGCCUAGCAUUUCUCAGUGCAACAUUCAUGGUCAGUCCAAAUUUGGAUCAACUUAAUAGCAUAAAC
rnacentral:lncRNA from 1 species